rnacentral:rRNA from 1 species
UACGGGGGGGGCAAGCGUUGUUCGGAAUUACUGGGCGUAAAGGCGCGUAGGCGGCCUGCUAAGUCGGAUGUGAAAUCCCUCGGCUCAACCGAGGAACUGCAUCCGAUACUGGCGGGCUUGAAUCCGGGAGAGGGAUGUGGAAUUCCAGGUGUAGCGGUGAAAUGCGUAGAUAUCUGGAGGAACACCGGUGGCGAAGGCGGCAUCCUGGACCGGUAUUGACGCGUGAGGCGCGAAAGCUAGGGGAGCAAACGGG